rnacentral:rRNA from 1 species
UACGUAGGGUGCGAGCGUUAAUCGGAAUUACUGGGCGUAAAGCGUGCGCAGGCGGUUCGUCGCGUCGGAUGUGAAAAUCCAGGGCUUAACCCUGGACCUGCAUUCGAUACGGGCAGACUAGAGUUCGGCAGGGGAGACUGGAAUUCCUGGUGUAGCGGUGAAAUGCGCAGAUAUCAGGAGGAACACCGGUGGCGAAGGCGGUUCUCUGGGCCGUAACUGACGCUGAGGAGCGAAAGCGUGGGGAGCGAACAGG